AAUAUUUAUUCACUCAAAUUAUUUUGGGUCCAUUCAAAAUAGGGGUGAUGUUUAUAUGUUCUAACAUUUAAACAACUCCCAAACUAAAUACAAAUGAUUACGCACAAAUUAAAAUCAUAGUAUCAGGUCCCAAACAGGGACAUUCUCAAGAGUGAACAUUCACCGGUCAAGAUGGCAUCCCUGGACAUGAUGCUAGCAUGUAUGCCAGCCUGCCUAUCCCUGUCACAGACUGUAGCACUUGCUUCAAGGAGACCACCACGAUCCUGGUGUCCAAGACAACCAAGGUCAGAGCACUUGGUCUGGACACCACCCGGUACAACUGAAAACUGGACUUAAUGACAGCCAGAUCUCAGCCUGAGUGAAAGAUCGGGGUGAGGAGAAAGUGAGCAUUAGCAUUUGAGACAGGAUGGUGUCACAGCCUGCAAGUAGUCACUCCCAGACGUCAGUGCAUCUUCAAUGGAUUAGUACAUCUAGUGAAGAGACCUUGGAGAAACAUGUGUUGUGUUGUUCAGUGUCUGUUAGCCAAAAAUGUACAUGUCCAAACAAAGAAUUCACUGGUUAGC